rnacentral:rRNA from 1 species
AGCGAACGCUGGCGGCAGGCCUAACACAUGCAAGUCGAACGAAGCCUUCGGGCUUAGUGGCGGACGGGUGAGUAACACGUGGGAACGUACCUUUUGGUUCGGAACAACUCAGGGAAACUUGAGCUAAUGCCGGAUGAGCCCUUCGGGGGAAAGAUUUAUCGCCGAAAGAGCGGCCCGCGUUAGAUUAGCUAGUUGGUGAGGUAAAGGCUCACCAAGGCUACGAUCUAUAGCUGGUCUGAGAGGAUGAUCAGCCACACUGGGACUGAGACACGGCCCAGACUCCUACGGGAGGCAGCAGUGGGGAAUCUUGCGCAAUGGGCGAAAGCCUGACGCAGCCAUGCCGCGUGAAUGAUGAAGGUCUUAGGAUUGUAAAAUUCUUUUACCAGGGACGAUAAUGACGGUACCUGGAGAAAAAGCCCCGGCUAACUUCGUGCCAGCAGCCGCCGUAAUAC